GUUGGGGAUUAUAAAAGCUCCGGCUCUUUCUCCCACUUUCUGCUAUUUCUCCAGGCCAAGUUGUUGGACCAAAAGGAACUGAUCAUUUAUUGAAGAAACUGAAGAUGUGGAAGCUCCAGACCUUCAUUACCGGAAGGGCUUCAAAACUGUGGCUGCAUAGGACAACCAUCCAGGAGCCAGAGGAGAGCUUCUGGGAAAAAAAUCAACACUCAUAAGCAAGAUGACUUCUAAGGUUCAGACGCAACACAGCUCAAGAAGUCAACUGGUCUUUGGCUGCUGGAAGUGCUGCAGUUGUGAAAGGAUCACAAUAGGAAAGAAAUAAGUGGACUCAAAGCUUGGAGCAGGUAAGUUCAGCACUUAAGGUGUUUGCCUUGCAUGCGGUCAACCCCAAGUUUAAUCCCUGGCAUCCUAUAUGGUACCCAGAACUCACCAGGAGUGAUUCUUGAGUGCAGAGCCAGGACUAACCUAUGAGCAGUGCCGGGUGUGGCCCAGAAACCAUAUGAAUAAAUAAAUGAGUGGAUUCAUUUUUAAAGUCAAGGACAGCCUACACUGAAUUAAGGAUAAUAUUUUGGAAGCCAAAGACUUAGCUCAAAGGGCCAGCGUUUGUGCUUUGCAUGUGGGAGUCCUGGAUUCAAUCCCUGGCCCUGGGGGAAGUCACUGCUGAGCACUGACCUGAAGUAGCCCUGAGAACCAAUUGGCCUGCUCAAAAACAAACCAAAAAAGUAGUUAUUUUAAAAAUAAUUAAUUUAUUACAUAUGAUAUUGGACUGGAGCGAUAGCACAGCUGGAAGGGCAUUUGCUUUGCACCCGGCCAACCUGAGUUCAAUUCUUCCGCCCUUCUCAGAGAGCCCAGUAAGCUAUCGAGAGUAUUAUGGGCACAUCUUUUCGACUCCACCGUUCUUCCUGCACUAACAUACGCCUCAGAGACCUGGGCCCUACGAAAACAGAAUAAGAACGUUAUUCGGGUCUCCCAAAGAGGAAUCGAAAGAACUAUGCUUGGAAUAUCACAUUUCACUCAAGUGAGAGAAGGAAUCUGGAGUUCCGACCUCCGUCAAUGAUCGAGAAUCAAGGAUGCUGUCUUGUUUACCUAAGCGUCGAAAAUCAGAUGGGCUGGACACAUAAUUCGAUUUGGAGGCGAUUGCUGGACUAGAGCUGUUGCCGACUGGAUUACACAGGACAUCAAAAGAAUGCCUGGCUGCCCACCUACGAGAUGGUCAGAUUUCUUCGUCAAGAUCCUGAAUGAAUGGUUUGAGGCUCUUCAUGUUCCUAGAGCGAGCAGACGCCAUUGGGCUACACUAGUACGCAACAGGGAUGAAUGGAGACGUUACUGGCGACUGCUCCAGCAAAUCGAUGACCAAUGGGAUGACAAAUGAUACAAACGAUAUGAUAUUAUAUUUAACGUCCUAAAAUAUUUUUUUCAGGUUUUGCAUUCUAUGUACCAUGUCAGCUUCAUUGAUCUUUUCUUUCAGACUAGACUAUAUAGUGUCUGAUUCCUCAAAGCUGGAAAGGUAGCCCAAGGGCUGAGUGCAUGCUUUGCCUGUGGAAGUUCUGAGUUUAAUCUUGGCACUACAUGGUCCUUUGAACAUCACCAAGAAUGAUACCAGAGCACUGAGUUUGGAGUAAACCUGAGCACCGCCAAGUAUAAUCCAAACCUACCUCCUAUUGCAAAAAAGUAUCUACAGCUUAUUUUUCCUUGCCCAGGGAGCCUGGUACAAACUACUGAGUAAUAAUAGAUGGAUACACAUGUAAAUGAUACUUAACAUUACAGUAAUCAGGGGCUGGAGUGAUAGUACAGCAGGUAGGGCAUUUGCAUUGCACGUGGGUGACCCAAGUUCAAUUCCCAGCAUCCCAUAUGGUCCUCUGAGCACCUCCAGGAGUGAUUCCUGAGUGCAGAGCCAGGAGUCAGCCCUGAGCAUCGAUGGGUGUGACCCAAAAAACCAAAAACAAAAAAGCCAAACAUUACAGUAAUCAGUGUAUGUAUAUAGUUGUUACUAUUGAUUGCUUUAAUCAGUUAAACCAUAUUGUAGAUUCUAAUAUUCCCAGAUCCCACAGAAAGCAUAGUAAAAUGCUGUGUCUAUAUAUUUCCAUUUGCAAUUCUGGAUAUGUAUG